rnacentral:rRNA from 1 species
GACGAACGCUGGCGGCGUGCCUAAUGCAUGCAAGUCGCACGCGGCACCUUCGGGUGCUGAGUGGCGAACGGCUGAGGAACACGUGGGGACCUGUCCGGGAGUGGGGGACAACACCGCGAAAGCGGUGCUAAUCCCGCAUACGCUCUGAGGAGGAAAGCCGAAAGGCGCUCCCGGGUGGCCCUGCGGCCCAUCAGGUUGUUGGUGGGGUAACGGCCUACCAAGCCAAUGACGGGUCGCUGGUCUGUGAGGACGACCAGCCAGACUGGGACUGGGACACGGCCCAGACUCCUACGGGAGGCAGCAGCAAGGAAUUUUCGGCAAUGGGCGCAAGCCUGACCGAGCAACGCCGCGUGCAGGAAGACGGCCUUCGGGUUGUAAACUGCUUUUGCUAGGGAUGAUAAGAGACAGUACCUGGCGAAUCAGCCCCGGCUAACUCUGUG